rnacentral:rRNA from 1 species
UACGUAGGGUGCAAGCGUUAAUCGGAAUUACUGGGCGGAAAGCGUGCGCAGGCGGUUAUGCAAGACAGAUGUGAAAUCCCCGGGCUUAACCUGGGAACUGCAUUUGUGACUGCAUAGCUAGAGUACGGUAGAGGGGGAUGGAAUUCCGCGUGUAGCAGUGAAAUGCGUAGAUAUGCGGAGGAACACCGAUGGCGAAGGCAGUCCCCUGGACCUGUACUGACGCUCAUGCACGAAAGCGUGGGGAGCAAACAGG